rnacentral:misc_RNA from 1 species
AACGUAAUGCUCAUAACUUCCCUCUAGACCCAGGUGCUAUUGAAGUUUCCAUCUACAACGGGAUAAUACUUUGGUCCUAGUCUAUACGAGUUUUUGAAAGUAAGGGAGCAAUCACCUCUUGUUCUAUCAAAAGUGCAUUGCUCCUUUACUUUUCUUUUUUUAUUACGACUAGAGUAACAUUUAAUUUACAGAUCGUUUUUUUGUUACAAGAAAAAGAUUUUUAUGCUUUGGUUCAUGAUUGAGUCUCCUUUUUUCUUUUCGUUUUGUAUUCCUUUGUUUUGUGAAAUUUUUUUUUCAAUUGAAAAAAAAAGAGAAAAUUUGCUUAAGACUUCAAAUUUUUAUCUCCGAAAUAAGAAAGAAAUAAUCAGGANAUUUUUGAAAUUGAAAUCUUAAGGGGCGGAUGUUGCCCCUGGAAUAAGGC